GGUCCAUAGCUAGAAAAGCUGUUUCUUCUUUCUUUCCUUGAAUUUACCUUGGGGCUUCAAUUGGAUCUGGGGUGAUCCAUGGCUUUCACCAAAUAAGGACGAGCUAGUCCUUGUCAAGGACGAUGAGGACUAUCAUUCCUUACUCGAUGUCGAGGUGUCAAAGUUGAAGAAGUUGGUGACCGAGUAGGCAUUAUACGAUGCCAACAUUAGUUCGGCAUUGCUU
rnacentral:lncRNA from 1 species